AUUGAACUCUGGCGGCAGGCUUAACACAUGCAAGUCGAGCGGUAACAGAGAGAAGCUUGCUUCUCUGCUGACGAGCGGCGGACGGGUGAGUAAUGCCUAGGAAUCUGCCUAGUAGUGGGGGAUAACUUGCCGAAAGGUAAGCUAAUACCGCAUACGUCCUACGGGAGAAAGGAGGGGACCUUCGGGCCUUUCGCUAUUAGAUGAGCCUAGGUCGGAUUAGUUAGUUGGUGAGGUAAUGGCUCACCAAGACCGCGAUCCGUAACUGGUCUGAGAGGAUGAUCAGUCACACUGGAACUGAGACACGGUCCAGACUCCUACGGGAGGCAGCAGUGGGGAAUAUUGGACAAUGGGGGGGAACCCUGAUCCAGCCAUGCCGCGUGUGUGAAGAAGGUCUUAGGAUUGUAAAGCACUUUAAGUUGGGAGGAAGAGCAGUUAACUAAUAUUUGACUGUUUUGACGUUACCGACAGAAUAAGCACCGGCUAACUUCGUG
rnacentral:rRNA from 1 species